rnacentral:rRNA from 1 species
ACUAAGAGCCGAUGAAAGACGUGAUAAGCUGCGAAAAGCUUCGGGGAGGAGCACAUAUCCAAUGAUCCGGAGAUAUCUGAAUGGGGAAACCCGGCAGAGGAAACCUCUGUCAGCGUGCAGUGAAUACAUAGCUGUACGUGGGGAACCCGGGGAACUGAAACAUCUAAGUACCCGGAGGAAGAGAAAGAAAAUUUAUCGAUUUCCAAAGUAGCGGCGAGCGAAAUGGAAAGAGCCCAAACCGUGAUGCGUGCAUCGCGGGGUUCGGACUGCGUUGUGGCAGACGUAAGAUAGGAGAACGGACUGGGAAGUCCGGCCGGAGAGAGUGAAAGCCUCGUAUCCGAAAUCCCAAGUCGCCUAGCAGGAUCCAGAGUAGGACGAGACACGAGAAACCUUGUCUGAACGAGCGGGGACCACCCCGUAAGGCUAAAUACUUCUUAGUGACCGAUAGCGCAUAGUACUGUGAAGGAAAGGUGAAAAGUACCCCGGGAGGGGAGUGAAAGAGAACCUGAAACCCUGUGUCUACAAGCUGUGGGACCUCUUUAUAUGAGGGACUGCGUACUUUUUGUAGAACGGUCCGGCGAGUUGUGCGUACUGGCGAGGUUAAGGACUUAAGGUCUGGAGCCGAAGUGAAAGCAAGCGUUAAUAGCGCGUCAAGUCAGUGAGUGCAGACCCGAAACCGGGUGACCUAUCCAUGUCCAGGUUGAAGCUUCCGUAAGAGGAAGUGGAGGACCGAACCCACAUCCGUUGAAAAGGGUGGGGAUGAGGUGUGGAUAGCGGAGAAAUUCCAAUCGAACCCGGAGAUAGCUGGUUCUCCUCGAAAUAGCUUUAGGGCUAGCCUCAUGAGAGUCUUAUGGAGGUAGAGCACUGAAUUGCCUAGGGGGCGUCAAAGCUUACCAAAGCAUAUCAAACUCCGAAUGCCAUCAAGAUGAUUCAUGGGAGUCAGACCAUACGAGAUAAGUUGGAUGGUCAAAAGGGAAAGAGCCCAGACCUACAGCUAAGGUCCCAAAGUACGUGUUAAGUGGAAAAGGAUGUGGGGAUUCUAAGACAACUAGGACGUUGGCUUAGAAGCAGCCAUUCAUUGAAAGAGUGCGUAAUAGCUCACUAGUCGAGAGUCCCUGCGCCGAAAAUGUCCGGGGCUGAAACACGACACCGAAGCUUAGGAAUGUGUAAACAUUGGUAGAGGAGCAUUGCUGGCGGGAUGAAGCCAUACCGUAAGGAGUGGUGGACUGCUAGGAAGAGAGAAUGCCGGAAUGAGUAGCGAGAUGAAGGUGAGAAUCCUUCAGGCCGAAUAUCUAAGGUUUCCAGAGUAAAGCUGAUCUGCUCUGGGUAAGUCGGGGCCUAAGGCGAGGUCGAAAGACGUAGUCGAUGGAUAACAGGUUGAAAUUCCUGUACCGCAUAUAAACAGAACUGUGGGGACACAGACAGGGAAUGGAAUCCGGGAGUGGAAAUCCCGGUGCAAGCGAGGUAGGAGUGCUGUUGGCAAAUCCGCAGCACGAUCUGAAGACGUGACGCGUACCGAACAUAAGUAGGGAAGUCCAGGCCCCUGGCUGUCAAGAAAAGCCGCUAUCGUUUUAUAUGUGCCCGUACCGCAAACCGACACAGGUGGAUGAGGAGAGAAUCCUAAGGCCGACGGGAGAAGUAUUGUUAAGGAACUCGGCAAAAUGACUCCGUAACUUCGGGAGAAGGAGUGCCAUGUAAAAGUGGCCGCAGAGAAUUGGCCCAAGCAACUGUUUAGCAAAAACACAGGUCUAUGCAAAACCGAAAGGUGAGGUAUAUGGGCUGACGCCUGCCCGGUGCUGGAAGGUUAAGGGGAGAGGUUAGCGCAAGCGAAGCUUUGAACUUAAGCCCCAGUAAACGGCGGCCGUAACUAUAACGGUCCUAAGGUAGCGAAAUUCCUUGUCGGGUAAGUUCCGACCCGCACGAAAGGCGUAAUGAUUUGGGCACUGUCUCAACAAUGCACCCGGUGAAAUUGAAAUACCAGUGAAGAUGCUGGUUACCUGCGCCAGGACGGAAAGACCCCAUGGAGCUUUACUCCAGCUUGAUACUGGGAUUCGGUAUUGCAUGUACAGGAUAGGUGGGAGACUAAGAACUGAUGACGCCAGUUGUCAGGGAGUCACUGUUGGGAUACCACCCUUGUAGUAUUGGAUUUCUAACCAGCAGCCGUGAACCGGCUGGGGGACAAUGUCAGGUGGGGAGUUUGACUGGGGCGGUCGCCUCCGAAAGGGUAUCGGAGGCGCUCAAAGGU